rnacentral:misc_RNA from 1 species
GAUGAAGAACGUAGCGAAAUGCGAUAAGUAGUGUGAAUUGCAGAAUUCAGUGAAUCAUCGAAUCUUUGAACGCACAUUGCGCCCUUUGGUAUUCCAAAGGGCAUGCCUGUUCGAGCGUCAUUUGUACCCUCAAGCUUUGCUUGGUGUUGGGCGUCUUGUCUCUAGCUUUGCUGGAGACUCGCCUUAAAGUAAUUGGCAGCCGGCCUACUGGUUUCGGAGCGCAGCACAAGUCGCACUCUCUAUCAGCAAAGGUCUAGCAUCCACUAAGCCUUUUUUUCAACUUUUGACCUCGGAUCAGGUAGGGAUACCCGCUGAACUUAAGCAUAUCAAUAAGCGAAGGA